AACGAACGCUGGCGGCAUGCCUUACACAUGCAAGUCGAACGGCAGCGGACCUUCGGGUGCCGGCGAGUGGCGAACGGGUGAGUAAUAUAUCGGGAACGUACCUUUCAGUGGGGGAGUAACGUAGCGAAAGUUAACGCUAAUACCGCAUAUUCUGUGAGCAGGAAAGCAGGGGAGUCGCAAGACCUUGCGCUGAUUGAGCGGCCGAUAUCAGAUUAGCUAGUUGGUGAGGUAAAGGACUCACCAAGGCGACGAUCUGUAGCGGGUCGUGAGAGGAUGAUCCGCCACACUGGAACUGAGACACGGUCCAGACUCCUACGGGAGGCAGCAGUGGGGAAUUUUGGACAAUGGGCGGCAAGCCUGAUCCAGCCAUGCCGCGUGAGUGAAGAAGGCCUCGGUUGGUAAGUACGUCUUC
rnacentral:rRNA from 1 species